rnacentral:rRNA from 1 species
CACGUAGGGGGCGAGCGUUGUCCGGAUUCAUUGGGCGUAAAGGGCGCGCAGGCGGCCCGGAAAGUCGGAUGUGAAAACUCGAGGCUCAACCUCGAGCGUGCACCCGAUACUGCCGGGCUUGAGGCAGGUAGGGGAGAUCGGAAUUCCUGGUGUAGCGGUGAAAUGCGCAGAUAUCAGGAGGAACACCGGUGGCGAAGGCGGAUCUCUGGGCCUGUCCUGACGCUGAGGAGCGAAAGCGUGGGUAGCAAACAGG